AUCCUGUUGUUACUGUCUGUACCAGAAGGAUGCUAUUAUGCAUGGAGAAGAUAUGCCUUAUGAUUUGAAACCACUUAACUUUGGCUCAGACAUGGUACGCCCUUUGAGGUAAGAUUCAAUCCAUUUCAACAAGUUAUUCGGGAAACUACGUUGGGUUACUUUUGUGAUUAGAAAUUCAGGAGACACUGUGUCAAACGUUUUUGUUAGAUGAAAAAAAUGAAGACAUUACAAAAUUAUUCGAAUCCACUUCUUUGUAGAUAUAAUUCAAUUGUGGAAUCCUUUUUACAAAACCCCUGGAAGAAACUAUUGCUAGUAAGAAAGAGGUUAUCAGUGAAAACACGUCAUCAGCGUCAUGUGAAAAAGAAUUAUCCAUUGAAGUAUUUAGGUCUGGAUACUAUUUGAAUUCAUUUGGAGAAAGUAUAAUUCAUGGGGAAAAUGAAGUUUUCUCAAAAAAAUUGAAUGAAAGAACUAUUGUGAAAUCUGUUGUAAAGAAGUCUAC